UUCACACUGGAGUUCGCUCAUGAGACGAAACUGGGAGGAGCUGAGGUCGCCGAGGUCUCCGGUGCGGAUGCCAUAGAGGAUAUCAAUGAUGUGAGUCUCAAAGAGGAGGGCAGACUCGGUGUAGAUGAGGUGGAAGAUGGUGGUGGGGCGCCAGCCAGUGAUCCAGUGGAGGGAGCGCUCAAGGGUGGUGGUCCAUGGCGCCAGGAACACGCUGAGAGGAUCUCUCUCCACCUCCUCCCAUUUUUCUACAAAGUAUUCUUGGUGCUGUUUCAUGACCCUUUCCAUGGCUUCUUGAGUGUGUUCAUCCUUCAAAUCCUUCACCAUGACCUUCAACUGCACGAACCAAAAUCUGUGAAAGUUGGCGAAAGAAGUGACCAUGGCAAUACUUUUGGGUUUGUGAGAGUUUGGCUUUGGUAAUUAUUUAUGGCUGUUGUGGUUGUU
rnacentral:lncRNA from 1 species